rnacentral:lncRNA from 1 species
UGUGAAAACAUCGAAGGGAAUGUGGUUGCGCGCCAGUGUGUGGAAGCGAGUGUGAACUAGGUCGUGGUUGUCCAUAUGGGGGCGGGGGCAUGAUACCGUAUACACACGCAUACAUUGAGCAGUAGCCCAUCAUGUUACAUCUACUUAAGUGUAGCCACUUUGGAAUAAAAGCACACUGCUCAUUUAGGCCCAUUCAUUUCAGUGGCUCUGCUUGUGAGAACUUAGUUGGGAUCCGCACUUCCCCAUUUAUUGCUCGAAGCCCCGGGAAGUUUUAUGUAGUGGCUAACAAAUAUAGAUGAUAAAUGCAUAAUACAAAAAUGAGUGGGGGGAGGAAGGAAAUUGGAGAGAGGUGUGACUGUGUGGAUGCAUGAGGCCUGCAUAGAGGAGAGCGAGGGGGCAACUGGCUUGCCUACACGCCAUACGCUUAAAGCACAUGGCUCCCCACCACCAAAUAAACUGGGAACUGUCGUUCGCUAAGGGUGCUGGGAAUUGUAGUUCUGUGAGGAAUAAGCUGCUGUUCCGAGGAUUCUGUCUGUGUUUUAAAUGCAUUGCAGAGCUGUGUGUGUAUGUGUGCAUCAGACAGACAGACAGACAGACGGGAGAAUGGGGCACAUAUCCUGUCAGGAAAGAGUGAAUGGGAAAGGCUUGUGUAGGAGUGUGGAUUAUGAGGGGGAAAACAUGAAAGGGAAAUGUGAGGAAGGAGUGUGCUUGUGCUACGAUGUACCAGGCUCUUCCUCACACCUCAUUCUUCUCUUUCCCGCCCAAAUCCAUUCCUAUGUCUCCUCCUGCCUCUCACUCGUAUUUUCAGUCAGCUCCCUCAUAUUCACGGUUUCCUCGCAACGUCUCUCAUGUAUGUAGUUGUUUCUUUCGUCUCUCCCUUAUGGAUGCAGUUCUUUCUUUCACUUGCAAGCUCGCUCUCUCUCUCUCUCUCUCUCUCUCUCUCUCACACACACACACACACACACACACACACACACACUCAGUGCCUUCACCACAGGCAGGACGUGUGAACAGACAAGGGUUGGGGUGGAAAACAAGAGAGGGGUGUGUUUGUGUGUGUCAGAAUCGCACGGGGUCUCCGUGUGAAGGAAAAGGGAGCAGAAUGGGAGGCCAGGGCAGCUCCAUUUUAGUGUGCAUGGGCACACUUGUGUAAAAACAUGAGGGAGACAGUGUUGGGGCUGGCAGGGAGGGAGGGAGGGAAAGUGGUGCAACUGAUUGACAGAAGCGCAGUGUGUGAAAGGAAUGUGUGGUGCGUUAGGACCGAAAGAUGUUAUGAGAACCCUUUUUUUUUAGUCAACAAAUUUUUAAUCCAACAAAUAUGUAUGCGUAAGAUAGGUACACAGCGUGUUUUAUUCAAGAAUUCCUACACAGAAGUGUCUUUUGUAAGGUGCAAGGGCAGCCAACAUAAUGCUGACUGGAUGCUGUUGGACUAAAACUCCCACCAGCCCCAGCCAGCACAGCCAGUGGGGAUGGUAGCUUAUUUAGGGGUAAACUACAGUUCCCGGGAUUGUCAGGAGGAAAUAAUGUGUGUUCAGUAUAUGGAGUGUCACUGUGUCUAUCUCUCAGUGUGUCCUUUCCCCCCAUAACUCUUAAAAAAGACAGACGGCUCUUAAUAUACACAUUCAGAGCUUCUUUCCUCACAUGCUGAUGAAAUCUGACAAAAUGUUCUAUUCUGUCAGAAGCAUCGAUCAGUUGUCAACAGGAGCUGCCAAAGCAAGCUGUUGGAUCCCUUUUUGGGGAUUUGUGGUUUUUUUUAAUGGGGUGGUAGUGUCUGAGUGUUUGUGCACCCCCCCCCACCCUUCAACAGAACUUCAAUAAUGCAUGGUAUUCUAAUUAAGAUUAUUGCUCCAAUGAAUCAGUGGGUAGUUACACACAAUAAUGAAUAUUUUAUUCAUUUAAGUUGUGAUUGGAAUAUGUGUGCCUGUGUGUCUCUCUCUUUCCUCAAGGAUAUUCCAGGCUCCUUCCUGAACGUUCAUAUUCCAUUCUAAACAAAAGACAAAAGUCUUGUCCUACUGCAGUUUAAAAUUCCAAAUCACAACUUUUUAAAAUGGAGGCAGCCUUAAGAGGUAUGUGGUAUAGUGGUUAGAGCGCUGGACUCACAACCCCAACUUUGACCAGGGUUUAAAUCUGCAUCCAGCCCAUGAUUGUGGGCCAUUCACUGUACUUCAGCCUAAAUUACCUCACAGGGUUAUUGUGAGGA